AAGCCGGAGAGUGGGCAGACGACUGGGCAACUCCGCAGCUCCAAGCUGGGUGGCGGGACCCCAGCCCCCCCGCACAGACCCGGCGGGCUGCGUCCCCCAAGCCGCUCAGCACCACCCGCGCCUCCCUCGGGAAAGCUGAGUCUAAACAGCUGAGAGUCUAAUCUAAGUCCCUGACUGCAGUGAUGAUGGCGUGCUUCAGUGGAGGAACCCAGCGCGGCCUUCCCUGCAGCGGUUUAGAGGCUUCUUGCAAACAGAGUGAUGGUGCCUGGAUUCUUUCCUCAAGCUUUUGGAUGUUUUUAUGCCGGACUUCACAGUUGAGGACUACCUGCCCACCAGGCAUGCUGUAAAAACAGAGAUGACAGCUGGGAGGGGCUUUGGGUAUCUCGUCCUACCUCUGGUCUGGAAAGCUGAAAGUCAUUUUGGGGAGCAAGCCUCCCAGUAGAAAAUCUAGUUCAUGCUUUGCUGGGCCCAGCACCCCAGCUUUCCCAGACACAUUUUGGGAAAUGUGUUUCUCACCUUACGCUCAUCUCUAACGUCAGAGGGUCUGACCACAUUCUACCAAGAAAUAUCUGCAUCAGAGAGAAUUAAUAAUCUGAGAAAGAUUGAGCAUAGUGCAACAUACUCAUUUAACAAGGAUUUCCUGAGUGCCCACCAGGCAGGUCCGAUAGGGAGGGAGGCCCCCAGGGAAGCUUGCAGCAUCAACCCGGUCCUGAAAUGUGAAGUCAAAACCUGAUGUAUCAAAGGAAGACCCAGAGGACCACUUGAGGUAAAAAGAUGAGAAAGAUUUCACCAGGGAGGAUGGAGUUGUGUGCGUGUGUGAAUAGAAUUGUAGGAAAAUGUCCAUCGGGCAGCCAGAGCAGAUUGGGUUUGGAGGACAUCUGCCUAGAGAAAAUGGUUGGAAUUAAAGAUUAGUACUUCGAGUCAGUGGGAAAAGGGCCCACCCUGAAUUACUAAGAACUUAGGGAAGAUCUUGUGUUCAGCAUAGCAUCACAGGGAAUCCUCCUGUAAGGCGAUUCAUUGAGAGCAUUUAUAAUAAAAACCUUGGGUACUUAAACGGGGGUUAGCUAGACCAUAGCACCUCCAAACAUGAUAAGCAGAUCCUUACAGGUUUCAAAAUGAAAUAAGAAUCCCUAAAGCUUACAGUUAAAAAAAAAAAAAAAAAAAAAAACCAAA